CCUACGGGAGGCAGCAGUGGGGAAUAUUGGACAAUGGGCGAAAGCCUGAUCCAGCCAUGCCGCGUGUGUGAAGAAGGUCUUCGGAUUGUAAAGCACUUUAAGUUGGGAGGAAGGGCAGUAAGUUAAUACCUUGCUGUUUUGACGUUACCAACAGAAUAAGCACCGGCUAACUUCGUUGC
rnacentral:rRNA from 1 species